rnacentral:tRNA from 1 species
GGCCUUAUGGUCGAAGUGAAGACGUCAGACUGCAAUUCUGAAGGUGUAGUUUUACUAAGGCUU